rnacentral:piRNA from 1 species
UUUAUUUAAUACAUUUUUUCA